rnacentral:rRNA from 1 species
UACGUAGGGUGCAAGCGUUUAAUCGGAAUUACUGGGCGUAAAGCGUGCGCAGGCGGUUUUGUAAGACAGUGGUGAAAUCCCCGGGCUCAACCUGGGAACUGCCAUUGUGACUGCAAGGCUAGAGUGCGGCAGAGGGGGGAUGGAAUUCCGCGUGUAGCAGUGAAAUGCGUAGAUAUGCGGAGGAACACCGAUGGCGAAGGCAAUCCCCUGGGCCUGCACUGACGCUCAUGCACGAAAGCGUGGGGAGCAAACAGG